CUCAAGGUAAGUUUUAUUUUAAAUUUGUGGACAUAACAUGGAUCAGACCCCGUUACCCCACAGCAGACUGUACGAUUUCCCGGGCUUUGUCGACAGAGCUUCCCCUCAGGUAGGUUACCCUCCCCCUUAAUCCCUCAGGUAAGUAUCAGCCAUGCGAAAGUGACCCUGCAACACACAGAAUUAUUCUGAUACAGCACUGCAACAAUAUGGUAAAAAGCACAACAAAUCUCACUCACACUGAAUUAUUCUGAUAUGGCACAGCAACAAUAGUUAUUUGAAGGGAAGGCAUUGCAAACAAUAACGUGAAAGGCACUACAAUUUCACUCUAGUGCUGCACACAAUAUGGGACCAACCCUUGGCCGUGCUCUACUCCGCCAACCCCUCUAAAGGACCCUCUACUGCUAUGUGACAAAACAGGCAGGGAAAAAGACCGACAACAUAUAAAGUGGCUGGGGAUAGGUUAUUGAUUUCUUUUUACCCCUUUUUUCUCCCCAAUUUCGUGGUAUCCAAUUGGUAGUAGGAGGAGGCCCCUGGUUAUUGAUUUCUAGGGCCCAACGAGAACCAUAUCCCCACAAAAAUAAAAUACAUGUCUUUGUCUGGAGAUAUCCAGAUCCGCACAGCUCCCUGUCCUGGAACGCGCCCUGUCUGAGACUCUGCUCGGCGACGUCACCGAUGGCCCCGCCUCCGGUGCUGAACAAGCGGGAGACAGACGCCAGGGAAACCUGCCAACAUUAGUGGCUUUCAGUGUCAUGGCAGAAUGGCCGAGAGAGAGAGUAGUGUAAGGGGAACACAGGAAGAAUCACGUCCCUUACUUGGCGGAGCUAAAGCUCCUAGAUGUGCAUUGUACCAAUGCCCCUCUCGGUCCUUUGCUCUCGGAUCACCACUCAGCUCCGCAGCCCCAGUUCGUCGUCGUUCCUCACUCAAAUUCGUCAGUAAGACUUCUCAUCCUGCAGACAAUGGUCCAGUGCAAUCACAGCAAACACCCAAGACAUGGAAACUUAUAUAGGGGCCCAAUCCCAACGGAGAGACAUUCUGCGCUCAACUCCCAGCAGACAAACAACACAGAACGGGGCUUUUGAAGGAAAUGACAGCCAAUUCCCAGCUACCUGUAUGAUUAGCUAACUCUCUGAAGCUGCAUCUGAUUCAUUAACAACUGUGACAAAGGUUGGCAUCCCUUGUUGAUCCACUGUGUGUCUGAGAGUUUAUAGCCUAUGCUCAGUAGGCUCUAAAGACUUACCCAUGAGUGUGCACUGUUCAAAAUAUAUCUCCA
rnacentral:lncRNA from 1 species